GCCCUCUCAGGAUCGCACCUGGAGAGUUUCCAGUACUCUACCGGUCUCAACUAUGGGAUGGAGAGUCAAGCAGAGGCAUAAUCAUUCCACUCCUAGCCUGAGCAGUGGCUAGCGAGUGGAAGGCAAUCUGCCACAAGG